rnacentral:misc_RNA from 1 species
GAUGAAGAACGCAUCGAAAUGCGAUAAGUAGUGUGAAUUGCAGAAUUCAGUGAAUCAUCGAAUCUUUGAACGCACAUUGCGCCCUUUGGUAUUCCUUAGGGCAUGCCUGUUCGAGCGUCAUUUAAACCUUCAAGCUCAGCUUGGUGUUGGGUGACUGUCCGCUUCACCGCGGACUCGCCUCAAAAUUAUUGGCGGCCGGUACAUUGGCUUCGAGCGCAGCAGAAACGCGAACUCGGGCCCGUCGUAUUGGCUCCCAGAAGCUAUCUUCACAAUUUUGACCUCGGAUCAGGUAGGGAUACCCGCUGAACUUAAGCAUAUCAAUAAGCGGAGGA